rnacentral:rRNA from 1 species
GACGGAGGAUGCUAGCGUUGUUCGGAAUUACUGGGCGUAAAGGGCGCGUAGGCGGCCUGGUCAGUCGGGUGUGAAAGCCCGGGGCUCAACCCCGGAACGGCACCCGAGACGGCCAGGCUGGAGACCGGGAGAGGAGGGUGGAAUAGCCAGUGUAGAGGUGAAAUUCGUAGAUAUUGGCUGGAACCCCGGUGGCGAAAGCGGCUCUCUGGCCCGGUUCUGACGCUGAGGCGCGAAAGCGUGGGGAGCAAACAGG